AUUUCCGGACGCAAUCCCGAACGAUGCUAUGAUUCAAGAACUGUCCUGGCCAAACCCAGAUCCAAUCUAUUAUCUUCCUUUUUAACCAACUGGCAACAUUAUAAGCAUUCCGUGCGGUAUUCAGGUUUUUACAAGAUACAUACGCGCAAGCGUAGUGGUGAUUUCACGAAACCUAACGAAUUGGAAAGACAAGAUGAAUGCAGAUUGGAAUCGACGAGUCAUGGCCAUACAGGCCAAGAAGAAGAGAGCAAAAGGACCAAAAGCUAAGAUGAAAGGGCACAAAGUCGAAUACAAGAAGCAUGGAUACGGGUAAGAUUCUGUUUAAUCAAAUUACACGAAAUAUUUAUCCGUUUGCCCUCUUAAAAGGCGAAAAUUACGUUCACCAUCGAUUUACCGCGAAAUCUUUCCGUUUCUCUAAAUGCAUUUGCUGUAAUUCAAACCAGUGGAAUUAAAUGUUUCUCGCUUCCACUCAAUGAAUGUCGACUGUUGUUAAUUUUAAAACAAUUGUAUAAAUACGAAAAAAAAUACACGGAAUAUCUUAUGUUUCUACCUUAACGAUUUCCAUCCAAUCGAAUAAUUCUGACAUAAACAAAAAAAAUCUAAUCAUCUACUUUAUAUGUGCUGUGAAUUAAGCUUGUUUAAUAGUAAUAUAAGUUUCUAUACACUCAUGUGCAUAAAAUAUUUAUUUGGUGAAAUGUAACCUAUAAAAUAUUUUGAGAUUUAAAUAUAUAUUACAAGUAAUUGAAAUUGAAAGAAUGCUAAUGUAUUUUCGGUAACUUUGUUGAAAUGUCCAAUAACUUUGAAAUUCUAAAAAGGUUAUCUGUAAAUUUUUAAUUUUCUUGCUUAAAAAGAUCAAUUUUAAUCAAAUAUUCUUAUUUAAAAGCUCAGUUAUAAAUAA